rnacentral:lncRNA from 1 species
UCAGCCCAAUGUGCUCUGGCUAGUACUGGCAUAAAGCCCUAUAUGAUAUCAGUUGCACCGAUAGCUAAAUUUAAAUAACUGUAUUUUCUUCCUAAGGUCUAACAUUUUAAGGUAUACUCAAAACCUGGAAACUUGCAACUUAUAUAAACCGCUUAUCCAGACUAGCUACAGUAGUAGAUGCCAAAAGGUGCUUCCAAAAAAUAGUGACAGAUACUUUAGCCAGAUCUGGACUUUCAUUUAGGAUGUCGUAAAUGCUCAUGGUACAGUUGACAAAUAAGACUCUUCUUAUUUGUCAGGCUUCGCCAGGUACAAGUUUUCUAGGGAAUUUUGGGUAAUACCUUUCUGACUUCCAAGGAGAAAGUAAAGGAAACGAUGUUCUCAUUAAUUUCAGGGAUUGCUGCAUGGUGUUGGUGUAGAGAGGCAGGCGAUGGUGAUGGUGGGAAUGGUAGUGUAAUGAUGAUGUAGGUGGAGGUGGUGGAGACGCUGUGGUGGUGGUGAUGGCGGUGAAAGUUUAGAUGGCAGUGAGGGUGGAGAUGGUGGUGGUAUGGAUUUUGGUGGUCACGGUGGUAUAGAUGGUGGUGAGAGGGUAAGGGUGUAGAGGAAGGUAGUGGUAUAGAUUUGGUGAUGGGGGUAUGGGUACAGAUGGUGGCAGUGGUGUAGAUGGUGGUGAUGAGGGUAUAGAUGGUGGUGGCAUAGACUUUGGUGGUGAUGGUGGUGAGGUUGUAGAUGGAGGUCAUCGUGUAGAAUUUGGUGGCAGUGGUAGUACAGGCGGUGGUAGUGCUAGUGCAGGCAGUGGUAGUGUAGAUGGUGGUGAGGGUUUAGGUGUUGAUGGUGAGGGUACAGAUUUUGUUGGUCUAGAUGGUGUGGUGAGAGCGUAGAUGGAGAUACUUUAGAUUUUAAUGGUAGUAAGGUUGGAGAUGGUGGUGAGGGUGCAGGUUGUGGUGAGGGUACAGGUUGUGGUGGUGAAGGUGCAGGUUGUGGUGGGUUGUGAGGGUGCAGGUUGUGGUGAGGGUACAGGUUGUGGUGGUGAGGGCAUAGGUUGUGAGGGUGCAGGUUGUGGUGAGGGUGCAGGUUGUGGUGAGGGUGCAGGUUGUGGUGAGGGUGUAGGUUGUGGUGAGGGUACAGGUGGUGGUGAGGGUGCAGGUUGUGGUGAGGGUGUAGGUUGUGGUGGUGAGGGUGUAGGUUGUGGUGAGGGUGUAGGUUGUGGUGGUGAGGGUGUAGGUUGUGGUGAGGGUGCAGCUUGUGAGGGUGCAGGUUGUGGUGGUGAGGGUGUAGGCAGUGGUAGAAGUAGAGGUAUCGUGCUGCUGGUGUGUGUGCUUAUGGUGGUAGAGAACGUGAUGGGAAUGGUGGUAGUGGCGAUGAUGAUGUCCUCAUAGUUGUAAAACAAAAUUUUGGUUAUUUUCACUUCUCUAGUCUGGAAAAGAGAAUUUUAUUUUUAAGUCUUAAGCAGAUUGCGACUACCCAGAUUAUGAAAUGAACUAUCCCCUCUCUUAGCCAGG